rnacentral:piRNA from 1 species
UUUCAGAGGCUGCAAGACUCUAUGAGGCGC